rnacentral:tRNA from 2 species
GUUUUUCUAGUAUAUAAGUACAGGUGACUUCCAAUCAUCCAGUCCCGGUUCAAUCCCGGGGAAAAAUA